rnacentral:rRNA from 1 species
AUUAACGCUAGCGGCAGGCAUAAUACAUGCAAGUUGAACGGCAGCACAGGUAGCAAUACUGGGUGGCGAGUGGCACACGGGUGCGUAACACGUAUGCAACCUACCCUAUACAGGCGAAUAACCUUUAGAAAUGAGGGCUAAUACGCCGUAGUAUUACAGAUGGGCAUCUAUUUGUAAUUAAAGAUUUAUCGGUAUAGGAUGGGCAUGCGUCCCAUUAGUUAGUUGGUAAGGUAACGGCUUACCAAGACGAUGAUGGGUAGGGG